rnacentral:tRNA from 2 species
GCCGGAGUGGCGAAAUCGGUAGACGCAGCAGACUCAAAAUCUGCCGAGGGCAACCUCGUACCGGUUCGAUUCCGGUCUCCGGCACCA